GUGUUCCUCUGUUCAGCAUUUACAGAGUAUGUUGUACAAUGUAAUAAAAUAUUUAUUUAUUUAUUAUGCAUACUCAAGAAUAUAUUCAGCACUUAUUUUGAUUAUUUAAAUAGUUGCAGUGGACUGUCCCUGAGACGAUUCCCCACAUCGCCGGCUAUGUAGACAGCUUGUGAAAAUGAAAUUGUGCCAGAAAAGUUUGAAGUAGCUAUGGGAAUGAUCAACAUUGAACUUGCUGAGCCUUCCUUCUGAAAGUUACUUGACCAGAUAUUUGGCUACCCAGUAUGAGUAUCUUUCUGUAACAUUAAAUAAAAUAUCGUGGAGGAACACAAAGAAAAGGGCUUUGCAUCUCAACAUAUUCAAGGUC